AUUGAAACACUGGUUUCCGUACAAUCACCGAAGUUAAGCAACGUCCAGCCUGAUCAGUACCUAGAUGGGUAACUACUUGGAAAUACCUGUUGCUGUAA